AAAGGGGGUGCCUUGCGAAAGCGCGGGGCUGAGAUUAUACCCAACGAACCUGAUACGGGUCAUGCCGUCGGAGGGAUUUUCUU
rnacentral:ncRNA from 1 species